GUAUUAGUUAUGUUCUUGAAACCCAAAGAAUUUGGCGGUAUUCCAUUCUUUUUAGAGGAACCUGUCCCGUGAUCGACAUUCCACGAUGGGAUUUACUUGCUUUUGUUAAUUCAGUUUGUAUACCUCCGUCAUCAGAGUAUCUUUUUAGAGUUAAAUAUUCUAUUUACACGGAAUGUGUUAUGUCAGGUCAAGGUGCAAUUUAUGAGUAAGUGGAGAUGGGUUACAAUAAUAUUAAUUAAUAUGGAUUAGACUAAUUAACUGGUCUAUAAAGGUGGAUUUAACAGUAAAAUUGAUUUCUUAUCAUUUUGAUUUUAGCUCUGGGAUAUGCACACAUCGCCCG
rnacentral:rRNA from 1 species